UUCUUUGUUGCAUUCUCAACCCUGUCGACAACUUUAUGUGCUUCAGCCGAUUCAACAUGGCAAUCCCAUCAAACAUCUCACUUGUCGUCAGGGAGAAUAUGUUCUGAUCCACCACCUGAUAAACCACAUAAUCAAUAAAAGAUAGGCUAGUGGAGAAGGAUCUAGAAGAGGUCCCAUUCUCAUGCAUGUGGCGUUCGGUUGUGGGCAGAGCAGAUGGGGAAGCAAGAGUGUUAAUCAAAAGCUUAAUUGGAACUUCUACAGUAGAUGAAGGAAUAGGGACAACUGAGUUGGCCCUUCUACAACUGGUCGGGGAAGAAGAGGAGACAUGGUUCAGUCCUCUAUAGUCGGAGGAGGAAGAUGAACAGUCACACUUGUAUAUUCGUCAAGAGGAGGUGUAGGAAGCUCGGAAGCUUGUUGAGAAGAAGAAGGUGUCAUGUUCGUUUGACCAUAUGAAGAGGCUAGAGAAUCCAUUCUUGGACACUUCAAGGCUGAAG
rnacentral:lncRNA from 1 species